CUCGGCAACGGUAUCUCGGCUCUCGCAUCGAUGAAGAACGUAGCGAAAUGCGAUACUUGGUGUGAAUUGCAGAAUCCCGUGAACCAUCGAGUCUUUGAACGCAAGUUGCGCCCAAAGCCAUUAGGCCGAGGGCACGUCUGCCUGGGCGUCACGC
rnacentral:rRNA from 1 species